UACGGGGGGGGCAAGCGUUGUUCGGAAUUACUGGGCGUAAAGCGCACGUAGGCGGAUCUUUAAGUCAGAGGUGAAAUCCCAAGGCUCAACCUUGGAACUGCCUUUGAUACUGGGGAUCUUGAGUCCGGGAGAGGUGAGUGGAACUGCGAGUGUAGAGGUGAAAUUCGUAGAUAUUCGCAAGAACACCAGUGGCGAAGGCGGCUCACUGGCCCGGUACUGACGCUGAGGUGCGAAAGCGUGGGGAGCAAACAGG
rnacentral:rRNA from 1 species